AUUUAAGCAGUUUGUAGUUUACUUUCUAUUUACAUUAGUAUUAGUUCUCUUCAGCUUUCACGUUUCAGUGUUUAUAAGUAGUCCAAGUUUUAUGUUUUUUAAAUUAGCCCGUCGGCUUUAAAUUUUUUAUAGGAAGAUUAUUAUGUCUAAGAAAACUGGUCAAGUUAAAUGGUUCAACGAAAGUAAAGGUUAUGGUUUUAUUUCUCCUGCUGAUGGUAGCAAAGAUGUAUUUGUACAUUUUUCUGCAAUCGCUGGUGAUGGAUUUAAAACAUUAGGUGAAGGUCAACAAGUUGAGUUUUCUAUCCAAGAUAGCGAACGUGGCCCAGCUGCUGCUGAUGUUGUAGUAAUGUAAUUACUACC
rnacentral:sRNA from 1 species